rnacentral:lncRNA from 1 species
AGGCACUGAUCCUAUGAAAAAUAUUGUACUUUUAAAGCUCGUAAGUUAUCCCACUGUUAAUUUUCUUCAUCCUGCUGUCUCAGUUUAGCCAUACCUUGGGGCUUGCAUUCCUUCUCAAUAGACCUAAUUUUAUGCUCUGACAGUUCCCCCAGAAAUUUGCUUCCAAUGUAGCCAAGGUGAGCACAUGCAUUGCGAGUUGUGCUGCCGAAAUACUUCCUUUGACAAAGCAUCAGAAUUUACUGUAACACAGCUUUCUUCCCCUGCAGCAUUUACCCUUGAGAAAGUGUGUUGCCAGACAAUCUCAGUGGAAGCACAAUAGAUUCUACAGUGGGUGAAGCAUUUACACAAAGAUUAGAGUGUCUGGAGAAAUACAAUGGCAUUAGCUGGGAGCUAGCCACUCUGACUCAGGUAGGUCUUGGUCAAUAGUCUACUCAAGAGGCAUCAGCAAACUACUGCUCAUAGGCUAAAUCUGGUCUGCUGCCUGUUUUUGUAAAUAAAGUUUUAUUGGAACACA